GCUAUUUAUGGUAACACCUCAGCAUGUGGAGGGAAAUCAGACACUACCUCCAAAUGUCCAUUAGGUGGCAGUGCAGUGCUGUCACUGUAGUUCCUUGGCUCUGUUCACUAAUCUACCCCUGUCCACUAGGGCCAUCCAUCCUUAGCUUCAAUCUGUGUCUUCUGCCUCCCUGUUUGUGUCUGUUAUUGCCGUUUACCCCGUGUCUCCUGGAGACAGUAGCCAGAGAUUGGGCUGCAGCACUGUCUCAGGAGCACUAACCACUUGCCUCUCUCCAGAAAGCCACAGGCAAAGGAGUGACCCACAUCAGAGUCGUAGUGAAAGGCAUUGGACCAGGACGCUGGUCUGCCAUCAAAGGACUGACCAUGGGUGGUCUGGAAGUGAUCUCCAUCACAGACAACACCCCUGUCCCACACAAUGGCUGCCGACCCCGGAAGGCUCGAAGACUGUGAUAGCAAGGAAACCUGGACCUGAACCUGACCUAAAGUCUUGACUCAGGUGGAUCCUACAGAAAGCCCACUGUGGAGGCUGCUGGAGCGGGCUGUUCUCGAGCCUUCCUUGGGAGAACAUUCCUCUCCUUGCACAGAAGCUGGAGGUGCCGAGGCUGGCCUCUUGGACAUGAGGGAGUGGGAACUGCUGGCCACUGUGGCCAGCUCCAGCCUCUGCUCUGAAAAUAAAGGACUGUUCUCUGUAGU
rnacentral:lncRNA from 1 species